UUGUCUCCAUGGGGACUGUGAGGAUGUCCCAGAUGUGCAUGCUGAGAUGGGUCAUCCUGCUGAUGGGGCUGCAGUCGGUACAAGCAGGCUUCUUGGGGGAUUAUGGGGAUGUUAUGAAGGAUCCUAUGGACUUUACAACCUGGCCGCCAACAACAACAGCGUUCCCAAUGACGACUGUGAUGGUAACAAAAG